CUCAUCAGGGGCGUGUUGACGUUCUGCAACUGAGGGGGUCAGGCAUGCCUCUGAAGCAUGGAAGCUUCUGGUAAGCCUGAAUCUACAUCCCCACAACUUGGAUGAGGCAUAACCGACGUAAGAAACUCAUAACAAACUGCGCAGAUCUACAGUGGAAAACUGACACACUUUGAUCACGAAUACACCCGUGAAACCAUCACCACCUUCGAGAUAAUGCAGUAGCCCUUAUCCCCAAAUCUCUUCGCGUCCCCUCAUGUUCCCUCCCGGUCACCUAGCUGCCUGCCGGCACCCUGCAUUCCUUGGCAUUUUCCAGAACCGUACCUAAGUGGAGGCGCACAGAGUGCUGUCUUUCCGUCUGGUUCAUUUUCCUCGUUCUGGGGCUACUACCAAUAAAGCUGCUGCCAACAUUCAUGUGCAAGGUAUCCACAGAUCCUGAUCCACAGACGUGAUGGGGGAGUAUCUGAUCCCUGUUAUUCCAUUUCAGCUAGAAGCAGAAGUCAGCUGGCUUGUAAGGUAAGUUACAGUGGGGUU
rnacentral:lncRNA from 1 species